rnacentral:rRNA from 1 species
UCGAACGCUGAAGCAUCUUCGGGUGUGGAUGAGUGGCGAACGGGUGAGUAACACGUGGGUAAUCUGCCCUGCACUCUGGGAUAAGCCCUGGAAACGGGGUCUAAUACCGGAUAGGACACGUGGCCGCAUGGUCUGCGUGUGGAAAGUUCCGGCGGUGCAGGUUGAGCCCGCGGCCUAUCAGCUUGUUGGUGGGGUGAUGGCCUACCAAGGCGACGACGGGUAGCCGGCCUGAGAGGGUGACCGGCCACACUGGGACUGAGACACGGCCCAGACUCC